rnacentral:rRNA from 1 species
AGCGAACGCUGGCGGCAGGCCUAACACAUGCAAGUCGAACGAACCUUUCGGGGUUAGUGGCGGACGGGUGAGUAACACGUGGGAACGUGCCUUUAGGCUCGGAAUAACUCAGGGAAACUUGUGCUAAUACCGAAUGUGUCCCUCGGGGGAAAGAUUAAUCGCCGUUAGAGCGGCCCGCGUCUGCUUAGCUAGUUGGUUGAGGUAAUGGCUCACCAAGGCGACGAUCAGUAGCUGGUAUGAGAGGAUGAUCAGCCACAUUGGGACUGAGACACGGCCCAAACUCCUACGGGAGGCAGCAGUGGGGAAUCUUGCGCAAUGGGCGAAAGCCUGACGCAGCCAUGCCGCGUGAAUGAUGAAGGUCUGAGGGUUGUAAAAUUCUUUCACCGGGGACGAUAAUGACGGUACCCGGAGAAGAAGCCCCGGCUAACUUCGUG